UCCAUAAUCAGAGUAUCCCAGACUUUCAUAAAUCGUAACCGCUCUCUGCUCUUUCUUCACACACACACACUCACAGAAAUCUCCAAUCACUAUUCUCACUCACUCUGCAAGUCCUUUCUGAUUCCAAUACGCUGUCGUUUUCGUUUUCGUUUUCGCUUUUGUUUUCAAACUCUCUCUCUCUCUCUCUCUCUGUGUUUUUUUUUUUUUUUUUUUUUUUUAAAGCUCACCGAAAAAAAAAAAAAACCCGAAACAUGGUACUCCGAAACUCGGUGUCCGAAACCGAAACGCCACCGGUUCGAGCCCCUCAGAAGCCGCAGCCACAGCAGCGGCCGCCGCAUGCGGCUUUUUCGGGUUUCGGUGCUGCUCCGAAGCCUCAGCCGAGCUUGAAUUGGCUUUUGAAUCCCUCCAACACCGCCAUCAAUAGUUACCAAAACCUUCAGAGCCACUACAACAGUUUCGGCUUCAAAAUCGCCGAGCCGAGUCACGACUCGUCGUCUCGUUUCGGCGGCGCUUCUUCGUAUCUCCCGCCGAAUUACUCUCCUUUAGUCAACAACAGUCGCGAUCAACACCACCACCACCACCGCCGGGGACUCGCUACUGAGUCGACUCACGAGUCGGAGUCCGAGUCGUCCUCGCACCUUGGGGCGAAUUAUACGACUUUAGUCGAUUACAGUCGUCACCUCAAACUCGCUGAGUCGACUCAGUACCGGGUUGGUAAACUCGGCGAGUCGGUUCCGGAGGGUGUCGAAUCGGAGAAUCGGAACCGGAAUGUUGUAAUUGACAAGGCGGCGAAGAAGAAAUCGGUUCGCGCUGUCUCUGAGUCGAAGGCGGCGAUUUCUGGCCCGGUUAUCGAUCUCUCUGAGUCUCCUCCGAAGCGAAAUUCGGAGAGGAAAUCGGAAAAUCUCGGAAGCGCGAUCGAGAAAUCGGCGGAUUCCGAUACGAAAGCGAAAUCGAAGCUUCUGAUUCGUAUCAAAACCAAGAGCAAGUCCAAUGCCGAAGCUGAUACCGAAGAUCACAAUCGCCGCGACGAUCCUGAUCACGCUGCUGACACCGAAGAGCCACCGGAUCAAACCUCAGCCGCCGGAGCAGGCGCUUCCACCGGCGUCAGCGGCGUCGAAGUAGAAGUCGAAGCGCCGCCGCAAAAGACGUGGAAUCUCCGGCCGAGAAAACCGGCUACUAAGAAUCCACCUCCAGAGGCGGCGGCGACGGCGGCGCAGCAUGUGACCAGAAAAACCCAGCCUCCGACUCGCGCUGAGUCGACUCGGUCCCAAACCGCGGCGGAAAAGAAAUCUUCGGAGAAGAAGGAGAAAAAACCAAACUUUUCGAUCGCGCUUUCGAAAGAAGACAUCGAGAAAGACUUCUUGCUCUUCACUGGGUCCAAGCCAGCCCGGAGGCCCAAGAAGCGAUCUAAGAUCGUUCAGAAACAGCUCGACAAUGUUUUUCCGGGAUUGUGGUUAUCUUCGGUUACUCCAGAGUCAUACCAGGUCACUGAUUCAAAGGGUUAGAUGGGGAAUUGGUGUUUCUUUGAAUAGUUGUUGGAAUUUUGAAGGUUUUGUGAAUGCGGAUCCUUUUGGACAUUGGAAGGUAUAACAAAACAUAUACACCAACAAACCUUUGAAGAUGAAUGGAUGACUACAGUGUUUUCUUUUUUAGCUUUUUGGCGCCCUUCGGAAGAAACACAGUUUAGUAGGACACAGAUGUCUUAGCAAAAGAAAAGUAGACGCAGAUGUCUUUAGCAAAACACAGUUGUACAUAUCAAACAAGUAGAGAAGCAGUUGCCACAUAAGAGUGGAGCUCUGAAUUUGACUAUUGAUGUGCUAUACGGAGAAGUAGAGAAGCAACUGCCACAUAAGCAUGGAGCUAUUCUGAGCUCAAGGGGUGUUGCAAACCGGUGAAAGGCAGCUUUCUGGAAACCAGAAGCAUCAUGUGGAUCAGAUAACAACGACAGUGUGGCGCUUGCCGUGCACCUUGUAGAAGUGAAUGGUAAUAAUGAAUUUCUUGACAUAGUAAUUUGGCAUUUUGGGUUAAGCAGAAAUUACUUGACAUAUAGUAAUUUCUUUUUAACCCAAAAUAAGAAAUUACUUGACAUAUAAUUGGUUAAAUUUGGACUUAUCAAAUAAAGGAAAUUACUAGACAUAUUUGGUACUGUGGAACUAAUUUGUGUUGUUGGAUUAAAUGGUCCUUGGUUGCCAGUUGCAAAUUUACAGAUAUGGACCAUAUGGUCUACCUAUAACCAUGAUGAUAUUUGUAUUUAUUUUAUAGAACUGUUUAUAUCAUGAUAAAUGUUAUAGAAAUUGUCAUCUAUUUUCUCUCCCUUUGAUGGUAAUACAAAAUCUAGUAAGAAUUGAAUGAAAUAGUCUCUUGGAAAAGGAAUGCUGGUAAUUAUGGAUUGUUUGUUGGACCAACCUUUGCAGAGCGAUGCACAAGCAGAAAAGUAAGCAACAGUGCAGCGAUUUUAUUUCUUCUCCCUUAUUCUACUUUACUUGAUUCUGCCCUCAAAUUGCAUUGACAAUGAGCCUAUUUCUUUAGGAGUACAACUGCCCAAAAUAAAAUUCUUACUUUUUAAUUGUUUAUGCCCCAUUACAGUUUAAGGAAACAUACUUAUUCCGUAACUGACAGUCAAGAUACUAAAAUAGCAGAUUCUGGCAUUUGUUGCUCAAGUCUUCUGUCAAGUUUGCCCACUGCUUGGAUUAGAGGGAGAGAGCUACAGAAGUACAAUUUUUGGAGGGGCUCUGGUGUUUGAGAAACAAGAAUGGCUUAGAUUCCUAUCAAAAAAAGAAAAAAGAAAAAAGAAAAAAGAAAAAAGAAAAAAAGAAAAUGGAAUGGCUUAGACAGUUUUCUGCACUGCCUGCUGCAGGUAUUCUGCCAAAAAGAACUCUUGUGAAGGAUGUCAUGCCCUAUGUGCUCAUGUUGAGCAGAGGCUAAAUCAAUGGGGAAUAAGAGCACUCACAUUAGUGGAUGUAUAAUAGAAAAAAUGUGUAAAAUUUAUACAUUUUUGCCCAAAGAGGAUCCACAUCAGUGAGUGUAUAAUUAUGUAAAUUUAUAAGUUUGUUAUAGUGUCUAUGUAAAUUUACAUUGGCAA